UGGUGGAGUGAUUUGUCUGGUUAAUUCCGAUAACGAACGAGACUGUAGCCUACUAAAUAGGCGGCGGAUAUUUAAUAGUCCGCAAUGUCUUCUUAGAGGGACAAGGCAGCUUCAAGCUGCAUGAAAACGGCAAUAACA
rnacentral:rRNA from 1 species